GCAGGGUGAUCGUUCUUGGAGAAAAAAGAUCAACAUCAAAGAGGACUGUUCCAAACUGAUCUUAAGUGGAUAUCUAUAGAGGCCAAAUACUUUCAUGGCUAAGAGAGAAUCUACUCUCUUUCAGAUUCAGAUUCGAAGAAAGAAAUUAUGAAACAGAUAUGUGAUUCGAUCACAUAUUUAAUUUCAAUAUAAAAUUCAGCAUGUGUUAAAUUUCAGUAUAUGAAGUAGA
rnacentral:lncRNA from 1 species